UAGACAUCAUUAACAGUGUUCAAUAUGUUUA
rfam:Strongylocentrotus purpuratus Contig64015_fixed, whole genome shotgun sequence.